GACGAACGCUGGCGGCAUGCCCAAUACAUGCAAGUCGAGCGAACAGAUGAAGUGCUUGCACUUCUGACGUUAGCGGCGAACGGGUGAGUAACACGUAAGGAAUCUACCUAUAAGCGGGGGAUAACAUUCGGAAACGGGUGCUAAUACCGCAUAAUAUCUUCUUCCGCAUGGAAGGAGAUUGAAAGACGGCUCUGCUGUCACUUAUAGAUGACCUUGCGGUGCAUUAGUUAGUUGGUGGGGUAACGGCCUACCAAGACGAUGAUGCAUAGCCGUACUGAGAGGGUGAUCGGCCACAUUGGGACUGAGACACGGCCCAAACUCCUACGGGAGGCAGCAGUAGGGAAUCUUCCGCAAUGGGCGAAAGCCUGACGGAGCAAUGCCGCGUGAGUGAAGAAGGCCUUCGGGUCGUAAAACUCUGUUAUAAGAGAAGAACAAAUUGUAGAGUAACUGCUACAGUCUUGACGGUAUCUUAUCAGAAAGCCACGGCUAACUACGUGCCAGCCGCCGCAGUAA
rnacentral:rRNA from 1 species